ACAAGUCUUAACAAGGAGUAAUGUUUUGAUAGUUGUGCAACAUUGUGAUAUUUGAUACUUGUAAAAUAGAUUUUAUGAGGCUCAGUGUUGUGUAUUGUUUUUAAUGAGUAUUCUGCUUUACAGGUGCCGAAGGCUGCAUCCAAUGCUUCUCUGUCUGCUAAAUGUUCCAGUGAUGCUAAUUAUGUGGAGUUAGCACAUGGCACGGGCAUAAAAAUCCUCAAGCAUCAAUGGACUUCUGCCCUGCAGGCCCAAACAGCCACUUCAAUGGUGCGUGUUCUUUUAAUGGCCGCCUUCCCACUAGAAGUUCUGAUCCACAGCAAUUUGAAAGGGGGAAAGAGUAAAACUGAUGGUAGUGCAGAGAGAAGACAUGCCCUUGACAAGGAAACCAUGGGAGCCAUAUUUGUGGCAGUCAAGAAGAGGUUUCCCAAUGUGUCCAGAGGAGCUUUGGGUAUUGCAGUGAAUUCCAAGCUGGGGGAACUGAGACUGCUUGAAAAAAAAAGGAGCUAAUUUUGUUAUUGUUUUUUUGCUGCUGUUUUUUAAUUUAUAGCAUGUUCCUUACUUGAUUUUUAUUCAGGGGUGUUAUAUGCUCACAU